rnacentral:rRNA from 1 species
UAUUGCGCAUGGNCGGAAGUCUGNGCAGCGACGCCGCGUGGAGGAUGAAGGCCCUUUGGGUUGUAAACUCCUGUAGAGAGGGAAGAAUAGUCCCCUUCGGGGAUUUGACUGUACCUCUAAAGUAAGGAUCGGCCAACUACGUGCCAGCAGCCGCGGUAAUACGUAGGAUCCGAGCGUUGUCCGAAAUCACCUGGGUGUAAAGGGAGCGCAGGCUGGCUUUCAAGUCGAGGGUGAAAUCUUACAGCUCAACUGUAAAACUGCCUUCGAUACUGUUAGCCUUGAGUGUGGGAGAGGGCGAUGGAAUUCAUGGUGUAGCNGGUGAAAUGCGUAGAUAUCAUGAAGAACACCAGUUGCGAAGGCGGUCGCCUGGCCCAUUACUGACGCUCAUGCUCGAAAGUGUGGGGAGCAAACAGGAUUAGAUACCCUGGUAGUCCACACCCUAAACUAUGAAUACUCGGUGUCGGGCCGAAAGGUUCGGUGCCAAAGCUAACGCAUUAAGUAUUCCACCUGGGGAGUACGAUCGCAAGGUUGAAACUCAAAAAAAUUGACGGA